CCUACGGGGGGCAGCAGUGAGGAAUAUUGGUCAAUGGACGAGAGUCUGAACCAGCCAAGUAGCGUGAAGGAUGACUGCCCUAUGGGUUGUAAACUUCUUUUAUAUGGGAAUAAAAUGUUCCACGUGUGGGAUUUUGUAUGUACCAUAUGAAUAAGGAUCGGCUAACUCCGUGCCAGCAGCCGCGGUAAUACGGAGGAUCCGAGCGUUAUCCGGAUUUAUUGGGUUUAAAGGGAGCGUAGGGGGAUUGUUAAGUCAGUUGUGAAAGUUUGCGGCUCAACCGUAAAAUUGCAGUUGAAACUGGCAGUCUUGAGUACAGUAGAGGUGGGCGGAAUUCGUGGUGUAGCGGUGAAAUGCUUAGAUAUCACGAAGAACUCCGAUUGCGAAGGCAGUUCACUGGACUGCAACUGACACUGAGGCUCGAAAGUGUGGGUAUCAAACAGGAUUAGAUACCCCUGUAGUC
rnacentral:rRNA from 1 species